GAAAAGGCCAAGUUAAGACAACAUUACAACGGAAACAACAACCCCACCAUAUCUUAUUUUCGUUCGUUUCUUCAUUUCAUUUUCUUGUUUUGGUUCGUUUUCCGGUAAAACCGUGUCGGAAUCAACAGACAGUUACAUAUAGAAAAGCAAAAGAAAGGUCUCAGCCUACCGAUGGCACAAGUUCUAUCUCCACCAAUGGCUAUCACCGGCCCAACGCCAAUGCAAUUCAUGGCGGUCUUCUUGGUCGAAUC
rnacentral:lncRNA from 1 species